ACGAACGCUGGCGGCAUGCCUAACACAUGCAAGUCGAACGGGAUCCAGGCUUCGGUCUGGUGAGAGUGGCGGACGGGUGAGUAACACGUGGGAACCUGCCUUUUGGUUCGGGAUAACCGCGGGAAACUGCGGCUAAUACCGGAUGAUGACGAAAGUCCAAAGAUUUAUCGCCCAGGGAUGAGCCCGCGUAGGAUUAGCUAGUUGGUGGGGUAAAGGCUCACCAAGGCAACGAUCCUUAGCUGGUCUGAGAGGAUGAUCAGCCACACUGGGACUGAGACACGGCCCAGACUCCUACGGGAGGCAGCAGUAGGGAAUAUUGGACAAUGGGGGCAACCCUGAUCCAGCAAUGCCGCGUGAGUGAUGAAGGCCUUAGGGUUGUAAAGCUCUUUUACCCGAGAUGAUAAUGACAGUAUCGGGAGAAUAAGCUCCGGCUAACUCCGU
rnacentral:rRNA from 1 species